rnacentral:rRNA from 1 species
GGCAGCGCGGGCUUCGGCCUGGCGGCGAGUGGCGAACGGGUGAGUAAUACAUCGGAACGUGCCCAGUAGUGGGGGAUAGCCCGGCGAAAGCCGGAUUAAUACCGCAUACGACCUGAGGGUGAAAGCGGGGGACCGAAAGGCCUCGCGCUAUUGGAGCGGCCGAUGUCGGAUUAGCUAGUUGGUGGGGUAAAGGCUUACCAAGGCGACGAUCCGUAGCUGGUCUGAGAGGACGACCAGCCACACUGGGACUGAGACACGGCCCAGACUCCUACGGGAGGCAGCAGUGGGGAAUUUUGGACAAUGGGGGCAACCCUGAUCCAGCCAUGCCGCGUGCGGGAAGAAGGCCUUCGGGUUGUAAACCGCUUUUGUCAGGGAAGAAAUCCUCUGGGCUAAUAUCCCGGGGGGAUGACGGUACCUGAAGAAUAAGCACCGGCUAACUACGUGCCAGCAGCCGCGGUAAUACGUAGGGUGCGAGCGUUAAUCGGAAUUACUGGGCGUAAAGCGUGCGCAGGCGGUUGUGCAAGACAGAUGUGAAAUCCCCGGGCUUAACCUGGGAACUGCAUUUGUGACUGCUCGGCUAGAGUGCGGCAGAUGGGAGUGGAAUUCCGCGUGUAGCAUUGAAAUGCGUAGAUAUGCGGAGGAACACCGAUCGCGAACGCAGCUCCCUGGGCCUGCACUGACGCUCAUGCACGAUACGUGCGGAGCAACAGGAUAGAUCCCUGGUAUCCAGCCCUAACGAUUCACUGGUGUUGGUCCUUACUGGUCACUACGUACUCAGCGUGGAUUGACGCCUGGAUACGGCGCAGGUUGAACUCAAUGAUUGACGGGA